CACUCAUGUUUCUCUUCAGAUCGUAUAAAUCUUUCGCCUUUUACUAAAGAUUUCCGUGGAGAGGAACAAUAUGAGUUCAAACUAAUUUUUUGAUGCCCUGCCUUGUGCGGGGCU
ensembl:snRNA U5 U5 spliceosomal RNA